AUUGAACGCUGGCGGAAUGCUUUACACAUGCAAGUCGAACGGUAGAGGGGGCAACCCCCUUGAGAGUGGCGAACGGGUGAGUAAUACAUCGGAACAUGCCCAGUCGUGGGGGAUAACGUAGCGAAAGCUACGCUAAUACCGCAUACGAUCUAUGGAUGAAAGCGGGGGACCGUAAGGCCUCGCGCGAUUGGAGUGGCCGAUGGCAGAUUAGGUAGUUGGUGGGGUAAAGGCCUACCAGGCCUGCGAUCUGUAGCUGGUCUGAGAGGACGACCAGCCACACUGGGACUGAGACACGGCCCAGACUCCUACGGGAGGCAGCAGUGGGGAAUUUUGGACAAUGGGGGCAACCCUGAUCCAGCAAUGCCGCGUGAGUGAAGAAGGCCUUCGGGUUGGUAAACUAGCUUUGUUACAGAACGAAAAGGUACUCUAUUAAUACUAGGGCGUCAUGACGGUACUGUAAGAAUAAGACACCGGCUAACUACGUAG
rnacentral:rRNA from 1 species